UAGGAGCUCCGGAGAGGAGCAAAUAUUGCUGCUGCUACUGUAUAGCAAGUGAUGCUGCCGCUAAACCCCCAGGCUCACCGGAAAGCUCAGCGAAGACAGAUCUGGGACAGACACUAAGGGAUCGCUUCCUUACGCUUUGCCAGGAUGUCAAUAAACGUCCACAGCCCAUUGAGCUGGACUGGGCAGUUUGCCUCUCUGAGAGCUAUUGCUUCAGGAUGCCUGCAGAAGAAAACACAGAAAUGGUUUUCAUGACAUUUGAAAGCUUCCACAGUCACUUAGGGAAAACGAAAUGGAUUGUGCCCUACAGCCUUGUUUAUUUUGUGUCAUUUUACAGAAUUCAUUUUCUUGUGUACUCUUUUGUUUUCAAGUAAAAUAUAAUUUUUAAAACCAA